AAUCAACGCUGGCGGCGUGCCUAACACAUGCAAGUCGCACGAGAAAGGGCUUCGGCCUGAGUAAAGUGGCGCACGGGUGAGUAACACGUGAAUCAUCUACCUCCGAGUGGGGAAUAACCUAGAGAAAUCUGGGCUAAUACCGCAUAACACUUACGAGUCAAAGCAGCAAUGCGCUUGGAGAGGAGUUCGCGGCCGAUUAGCUAGUUGGCGGGGUAAUGGCCCACCAAGGCGAUGAUCGGUAUCCGGCCUGAGAGGGCGCACGGACACACUGGAACUGAAACACGGUCCAGACUCCUACGGGAGGCAGCAGUGGGGAAUUUUGCGCAAUGGGGGAAACCCUGACGCAGCAACGCCGCGUGGAGGAUGAAAUCCCUUGGGAUGUAAACUCCUUUCGAUAGGGAAGAUAAUGACGGUACCUAUAGAAGAAGCCCCGGCUAACUUCGUGCCAGCAGCCGCGGUAAUACGAGGGGGGCAAGCGUUGUUCGGAAUUAUUGGGCGUAAAGGGUGCGUAGGCGGUUUGACAAGUCUUGUGUGAAAUCUAUGGGCUCAACCCAUAGUCUGCACAGGAAACUGUCG
rnacentral:rRNA from 1 species